rnacentral:rRNA from 1 species
AACGAACGCUGGCGGCAUGCCUAACACAUGCAAGUCGAACGAGACCUUCGGGUCUAGUGGCGCACGGGUGCGUAACGCGUGGGAACCUGCCCUUAGGUUCGGAAUAACUCCCCGAAAGGGGUGCUAAUACCGGAUAAUGUCUUCGGACCAAAGAUUUAUCGCCUUUGGAUGGGCCCGCGUUCGAUUAGCUAGUUGGUAGGGUAAAAGCCUACCAAGGCGACGAUCCAUAGCUGGUCUGAGAGGAUGAUCAGCCACACUGGGACUGAGACACGGCCCAGACUCCUACGGGAGGCAGCAGUGGGGAAUAUUGGACAAUGGGCGAAAGCCUGAUCCAGCAAUGCCGCGUGAGUGAUGAAGGCCCUAGGGUUGUAAAGCUCUUUUACCCGGGAUGAUAAUGACAGUACCGGGAGAAUAAGCUCCGGCUAACUCCGUG